rnacentral:rRNA from 1 species
AUGCAGGAGCUGGACGACUCGCCACUACCAUGCAGCAACAACUCCACCCAAGUAGUGAGCGAGGCGGACCACAUCGUCGUUCUCCUUGUUCCCAACAACUUGGCUGCACUAGCGCCGUCCAAGUGCUUGGCAGAAUGCUCCGCCUAUGUGGGAGACUGGGUGAAACCUCUGACCGCCACCAUCGAUAGUGCCGACGAGACACAUGACACUCCCAUCGCUGAGCGUCUGCACCCGCCUUCCUUCGAACAUCAACCAUGGAGGUUCAAUCACAUGGGAUCCAUCUUCAGGCCUAGCCUGUGGCCAUCGUUCGGGCCUCUGUCAGUCACAAGCUACCCGGAAGAGCCAUGUUCAAGUAUCCAUAGUCAAUCACAUCGAGGUUCCUUCUUUAGUCCUCGGUUAGUUCGGUUGAUGUUUAGAGAUGUUCACCUGGAGGAGCAUGGUAAUGGAACUGAUUCAGUCAAGCCUUGCACCAGUGGAAUUCAACACAAAGUGCGUGAAAGUUUCACUGAAAUUGCAAGGCGAUGUUCAUUUGAUGUUCAGAGAUGUUCACCGGGAGAUGGUCCAGCAAUCGCAAGGGAGUUCGAUGUUCCUUUGGAAAUCAAAAAAAUGGAUAAAGGAUGCAUGGGUUCAAGUGUGGUUGCAUAUGUAUUACCUCUUGAAAGAUAUGAACCAUGCAAGUAUCAGUUUUUCAGAGAAUCAAGCAUGACUGAUUUUCCUGCUGAAUUCGAAGUUGAAUACGAAGCUGAAUAUUAUGUUCAAAAUACAACUCCUGGAUUGGUUGGGCGUCAAGAUGACUUAAACCUCCGGAACACAGAUGGAUGCUCAGCAGACAUUGAUAGCAACAAUACAGUUGUUGUGGCUGAUAGCAAAUCUGAUAAAAUAUCUGACAGUUGA